CUUGAAUCAUAAACUUGAAAAAAUAAGGCUAGUUUUUCAAGUUUGCUAUGCGCAGAAGAGAUGCGCAAACGGUGAUACUGCUCCGUUAAACAGUAAAAUGAUAUAAAGUAAAGAGUGAUCAACGACCACUUACAAGCAUUUUUAAUUAACGUGAGUCUGGACUCACUGCAAAUAGGCGGGAGUUUUAUUCAAAAUAGUGAAAAAUAAACAGUAAAACAAG